rnacentral:lncRNA from 1 species
GCAGCGUUGAUACGUUUGUUUUGAAAUGGUUACUAAAGUGUCGAGAGAUUAACUUUAUUCAUGUAAACUUUUAAUCUUGGAAAUGAUUAUAAAUUGUAUUUUUUAAACACAUAAACAUAUUGACCAUUGUCAAAAUUUAGUAAAUUUUUGUUUUGUGGGCGGGAUGUUAUGUAUCAGUAUGUAUGGUCGGAUUAUGUUUCUGUGUGAAAGAGAGAGUUGUUCCCCUUUUGUCA